UACGUAGGGUGCAAGCGUUAUCCGGAAUUAUUGGGCGUAAAGAGCUCGUAGGCGGUUUGACAAGUCUGAUGUGAAAUCUAUGGGCUCAACCCAUAGUCUGCAUCGGAAACUGUCGGACUUGAGUAUGGGAGAGGUGAGUGGAAUUUCCGGUGUAGCGGUGAAAUGCGUAGAUAUCGGAAGGAACACCUGUGGCGAAAGCGGCUCACUGGACCAUUACUGACGCUGAGGCACGAAAGCUAGGGGAGCAAACAGG
rnacentral:rRNA from 1 species